rfam:Synechococcus sp. CC9311, complete genome.
UUCUGUAAAAUUAAAAAUUACUGACCCUUUGUCGGCGGGCGCUGGGUCAAUUUUUAUCGCACUGUCCUCGGGCAGACCGCCAU